rnacentral:rRNA from 1 species
CGCGAACGCUGGCGGCAGGCCUAACACAUGCAAGUCGGACGAACUCUUCGUUGUUAGUGGCGGGCUUGUGAGUAACACGGUGGAACGUGCCUUUUGGUUCGUUAUCCCUCAGGGACACUUUUUCUUAUCCCGAAUGUGCCCUUCCGGGGAAAGAUCUAUCGCCAUUAGAUCUGCCCGCGUCUGAUUAGAUAGUUGGUUAUGUAACCGCUCACCAACGCGACGAUCAAUAGCUGGUCUGAGAGGAUGACAAGCCACACUGGGACUGAGACACGGGCCAGACUCAUACGGGUGGCAGAGGUGGGGAAUCUUGCGCAAUGGGCGACAGCCUGGCGCAGCCAUGCCGCGUGAAUGAUGAAGGGCUUAGGAUUGUAAAAUUCUUUCACCGGGGACGAGAAUGACGGUACCCGGAGAAGAAGCCCCGGCUAACUUCGUG